ACCAGCGAGCGGAGACUCGGGCACCGAGGGGCGGCGGGGAGCGGCGCGGGAGAUCAGGGAGCGCAGCCCGCGCAUCGCGGUGCGACCAGCCGAGGUUUGAGCCCCGCGCCCCAGAGCUGAGGUCCCGCGGCAGCGGCGCGCUCCCGCCGCGCCGGGAGCCGUCACCGCCCGCGGUGCAGCACGACAGCAGCUGCCGCUGCCGGUAGCGCCCAGCUGAGGAGCCGGAGCCUCUCCCCGCGUAUGGAGGAGCCUCCCUCUUUCCCUCCCUCCCUCCUUCCCUCCCUUUUCCCCUCCUUCUCUCCCUCUCUCCCAGUCCGCUAAGGCGGGCAACGCAGCCAGGUGGUGCCGGCUCGCCCUGCGGCCGAGGCCCCUCCGCCGGCGCUGCCUCCUCCGCGGGCAGCGGCCGGGCUCCUCCAGGCACUCGGGCGGCGCUGGGAGGCUGCCGCCGCCGGGACGCGGCUGUAGGGGGAAAAGCGAGGGGCGGAGAUGGGGCGCCGGCUGUCCCCAAGAGCUGCCGGCAGGGCCCAGGAGCAACGGCGGAGGAAUGAGGCAGCAGCCGGGAGGGCCCGCCUGAGCCGGGCAGCGGUGCGGGGCCGCACCGCACUCCUGCAAACGCCGUUCCCCCUGCUCGGCUGCUCACCUCCUGCCCUAGCUAAGUGACCCGCUGGAGAGGACCGAAGAUGGUGCAUUAUUACUGCCGGGUGUUUUGGGAGAGGUGGGGGAAGCAAGCGGAGAAGGGAGGGAGGGCAUGAUUUUAAGAGUCAAAGGGAAAGCGGGGCGGGAGGGGGGAGGUGAGAGCAACUUACACACCAAAAAAGCCCAUCCUGGGGAAAGAUAAAAAAUAGCCACAACAGCAUUGAAAGUUGCUCGAUUUGUGAUUUGCAUUAUAACGCUGCCGCUGCUGCCUGGCUUCUCCGACAGUGUGCCCAAGGAACGUGUAAGAUGGGAGAGGAGGAGCUAUAUACUUUGUCUGUGCUUUCCCUUCCUGGCGGCAGUUCGCUCUUUCAACCUCUCUUUCUUUAAAAAAGAACUAACACCCAAAACCCAACCCCCCAACGGCUCACACCCCACACAACCCACUCCUUUGAUGGAGAAGUGGCUCCAGGUGGUGAUUUCGGAGUUGCAAGCCGAGUUUCCUUGGGAAAGGGGUGUGUGUAGAGCACCCCUGAGAGUGCCCCUCUCGGGUUUUGGGCCCUCGAGUUUGGCAGCCCGGGCAGAGGAAGGAGCAGGCGCCCAUGCCUUCCUGGAGGAAUGUCAGGUAGUGCCCGGCGGCCACGAACGGCGGCAGCGCCCCAGCCCAGGGAGAGGGGAGGCCGCCGCCUGUUUUCUCUUGCUCCUCCCGCUGUGCGAGUCGAGAUCAAUGAUUAGUGGUUCUGUUUUCGGCGAGGAAAAGAAAAAAAAAAAAAGGAAAAAGAAGUCUGGAUAAAAUCUAACUUUUAUUUACCAAAAAUUCAUGCCCUGAUUAAAAAAAAUAGCACCAAACCUUAACCCAGAUUACGCAGUUAAACAUCUAAUCGGGGACAGUGUGGCUGUUUGCCAGAUCUAUGAUCCAUUAACCUUUUUAGCUCAUUGUUGGCAGGCAACAAUAGCACACGAUUAAAUUCUUACAUUUUACAGACAAGCCAUUUUCUUUCACAGUAAACUCCCCUAUCCUAUGUUGCAAUUAAAAAUAUGGUAUCUUCAACAAUAAAAAUAAGGAAGAAAUACUGUAAGUUUUUAGCUACUUUGUGUUCAUUUUACGGGUAAAAACCUUGUGCUUUGCUCCAGAUAAUAUGUCAAAAGGUGGACAGUAGCAUAUUAAAAAUUCUUAUAGCAAGUAUUUUGGAUAAUUUUACCUUCACAAAUGAAUUAUAUACUAUUUAGACUGUGUACCACUCAGUUUUAGUUGCAGUUCUUUUUACAGAGAGAAACCAAGCAAAACUCAACAUAAUCAAAAUAAAAGUAUGAAAAUAGGAUAUAUAGAGCCCUUUUUUUAUAUAGAGCCCUAUAUGUUAUAGAUGUAUAUACACAUGUAUGCCCUUUAAUAAAAAAAAUUCUGUCUGAAGUUAUAUAUUCAUACAUAAAUGUUUGUGCAUGUGUACAUAUUAUAUGUAUAUAUAUAUACACCCAUUAUAUCAAUAUUUCAAAGUAAUUUAAAAAUUCAGAAUAGAAAAGAAGCUAAGCUAAAAAUACAGCUCUCAACCACCUGCCAAGUUACCACUUGGAGAAGUUGUAGAAUCACUGAUAGUCGUAGAAUCAUUGAUAGUCAUAGAAUCACUGAUACAGAAAGAAUAUGAAAGUUAUACCUUGCACCUCAUUCUUUACGUGAACAACUUAGGUAAUAGAAAUAUAUCCAUGGAAAAAAGGAAGUACAAUGUUUUCUGGUUUGGGUUUGGUUUUUUUUUGGUGUAGGACGUUAGGCUGUGGCCCUAAUUACCAAAAUACUUGUUUUGUAAAGUCUGCAUUCAGAGAAGUUGAAUCUGUCACUGCUGUCUCUCUGGAAGCGGAAGAUAAAUAGCAUGUGCAAAAAAGGAUAACUGAUGCCAUGAGGAUCUGCAGAAAAGGAAUGGGAAAGGUGAUGGGGAGUAGGGCUAUCCAGGUGACAACAGUGAAUACAGGAAGCUGGUAUGUUACAGGGGAAGCUGGGCCUGUUAACAAGUGCCAUCUCAUGUGGAGGAGGCAGCAGGAAAGAAGACCUUCAUUCCUUUUGUUAUGGUCAGGCUGUGCUGUAAAACACAGCCUACUGCUCAUUACUACUGUUAAUUAGAUGGUAAGAUAAUGCCAACCUCUUCUCAAGACCUCCACACAUUGUUUCUAAAUCCUCUGUGGUUUAGGGAAAGUCCUUUCAAGAACAACAAACAUAAGACUGAAAAAUGCUAGAAGGUCUAAGUUCAUUCGACUCAUCUUCUUGAGGAAGGUUUUAGGAAUGUAUUUUUUGUCACCCUGACAACUCCUCAGACAUGGUCAGCUGGCAUUGUGCUGUCCUAGCCCAAAGAGAGAAAGGUCCAAGACUCUUUAUUGGCUAUUUAAUUGUUUUAAUCUGGGAAAAUGUAGUCUUGAUUCCAUUUUCACUAAGAUCGGUAAUAAAAUUAAGAAGUGACUGCUACAUUAGCAGAACGUUUUGUGUGUGAGACUGCCCAACUUCAAGAGCAGACAUUAGGGAUGGAAAAGACAUGUAAAUCUACACUGUAUAGUGUUAAAUUUAGGAUAUAUUUUCACCUGUUGUAGCAAGAGUAGUUAUUAAUAGCUCUAAAAAGCUUAUUGCUAUGGUAGAUAAUAUGUUAAAUAUUGAAAGCAGUUAUAUUUCAGCUGGUUGCUUUUUCUCUCUGUUUUCUUCACUAAAUCCAAAGAAUUUUCUCCUUCCUUAAGAGCUGUCUACUGUAGUAGGAGAGAGGUAUAAGGUGUUAUACAGAUUGUUCCAUCUUUGCAUAUGUUGUGUAGGAUAAUCACAUUGAUAUUAUUUGAUGCAAAACUGUAAAAUUCCUGACUAUCCAAAAUUCUCAACUUCCAUGUGGUACAAAGGUAACAGAUAUUAGAUAGCCAUAAUUUUAAGGAAAUACAAAGUUGAGCCUCUGUUCUUUAAUGAAGUUCUGUUUGUUUCCUUUUUAUCUUUUUCUACUACAAAGGGAAUUAUCCAACAACUAUAUUGUAUUCAUUUUCAGUAUUGUAACUUGAAGAAAUAUGUACCAUUUAUUACAAACAGUCUUUGAUGAGAAAUAAGAAACAAAGAAGAAUUACAAGAUUGAAAUGCCAGCCUUUAUUAUAUUUGGUAUAUGGCUACAUUGGUUUCCAAUCUCAGUAACACCUUUAAACCAAGCGAGUUUUUGGCACUCAAAAGGGUUUUCCAAGAGAGUCAAAAUGCCACCGAUUGGUAUAGGAUGACUACUCUUCAUUAUAUAACAGUACAGAACCAAGAUGGUAGCAUUUUUUAAUGUAAAAUUCAUGUUUCACUAAUAAUUCUGGAAAUUAGAAUGUUCCUUUAUUUGUUAAACAUCUAGUCUGUCAUAAAUGUAUGUUUUAUCUAAUUAUAUCCCAAUUUUUCAAACUUGCAUUCUGUUCCAUGCAAAGUGUCUCAUCUGCCAACUUUUUAUUAACUUAUGUCAUGUUGACUUAUUUUUUGAAAAAAACCCCUGUGCUUUUCAAGAACUUUGUAAAAAGUCGAUGCGUUUAAGGAUCUUACAGGAUUAUGUAUACUCAUGCAUUACAAUAAUAGACAUAAUUUUUAAGAAAUCUAACCAAUUCUGUUAAGAAAUUCUAUCAGUUCUGUUAGAUUGGAACUUGCCUUCAUAACCCACUAAAAACAUGCUUCACUGACUCAGUAAAUACUAUAUGUUUGAGCUGUCUGCAUAUUAUUGACUUUUCUGGUUUCUGCAAAGCAUUACAUCAGAAGUCCCUUCCCCCCAUUGUUUUCAUACUAGAAAAAUCAAUUCAAAUCUUAGAUAUACAAAGCAACAAAGGUAAGCUAACCUUGAUAUAUUUCAGAAUUUAUAAAAUCUCCUUGUUUGUUUUGUUGAAGCUCUGCUUUGCAGGCUUAUCUUCAGCACCCGAGAGUUUUACAACUCUUUCUGAAUAUAUGGGAAAACAUACUAAACAAUAAUAGGCUGAGAGGCAGCUUAUUUAAAAUCAUAGGGGAGUGUGACUAGCAUGUUAAAGAGAGACUUUCAUUUUGGGGAAAAAAAUUUCAAAGGUACUAGGCUUAGAAUCAUGUUCUGCCUUCAAAUGUCCAAGCAUGAUUCCCUUUAGGAAAAAAAAAGAUUGUAUGUAAAGACAUAACAUUAAUUUUAAUGGAAGAUCAAUGGAUAUAUGCAGAGUUAUUUGGUCAUUGGGCACCAACACUAGUCAUCUUUUUCAGAGUUUUAUGAUGGUUUUGCUACUCUGUUCAGUUCCAAACUAACAAACAAAGCCUACUGACUCUUGUUUUUCAUUAAGAUAAGUAUUGACAAAAUAAGUGAGGUUUGCAUAUCUGAGGAAUAACUCAGCUAUCUUACUGCCUAUUCCACAUUUCUUCCUGACACUGCCAUUGUCUUAUCCUGCUUUUAACUUAUAAGUUUGCUGAAUUUCAGUGAUUCAACAUGAAAUUCAGUAUGCUGUCUCAGGCUGCAUGUCUUUAGCAUACCCAACCUAAAAGGCUCUGCUAUACUUGAGAAUGAGAUUGAGGGACAUUAUUUUGUUUCAUUUCUUCCUAAUAUAUUCCUUGUAAGGUUUAUUUUUUUAAGAACUCUAGCACCUUUGGGUAAUGAGGAAGAGACUUAUAAGUUGGCAGGUUGAUAAGUAUUGGUUACGUUAAGCAUGACUUGGUAUCGCCAUGAAAAUUCAUUUACAUUUUUCCAGUUCAUGAGCAUUUGGAAGUUCAGUUCACACAUGCUAAAUAGCAGUUUGUUAGAGUUAUGCAAUUAAAUGCAUAUGUUUAGCUGCUCUCCAUCCAGUUAGAUUCAGAAGUGGCCUGGAUUUGUCUCUCCCAAUGCUGUUGCUCUUAAGCAAGAGGGUCUGUUUUUCCUCUGCUCUCCAUUUUGUUUAGAGCCAAAGGUGCACUGAGAAGUAGUUCAGUUGAGUGCUGGAAUGCAAGAAGUCUUCUCUGGAUUUCUUGGGACUGGGGAGCUGGCAAGGAUGAAGUGAGAGGGAUUUCAGUGGUGAAGAGUGUAGAAGAAAGAUCUGAGACCUGAGAGGAACUGGUAAGGAAGAGAUUGAAUUCAGAUGACUAACUGCUAGGUGCAGAAAAGGAGCAUCAGACAGGACAAUGGAUCUCUCUGUGUGGCAGUCAGAUGGGAAAACUAUGUGAGAAGUUUAUCAUUUUGGAUAUGCUGAUAAGCAAAAAGAAGAAAUCAAAAUACGGAAGACUAUAGCUGGCUAAGAGAAAAGUCAGGUGGAAACAAGCCAGUGAAGAUGAGAAUGAGGUCCCAGAAGUGGCGGAGAGAGCGAGAGAACUGGAACAAGAUAUAAAAGCAGGAAAGUCUGUAAUAAAAAAGUCAGAAAAGAAAUACAAAAAUCUGUAAUACUAGAGCAUACUGCCAGGCAGAUCUUGGAAAUGAGCCAACUAUCCCAAACCUCAGCAUUUCGCUGUUAUCAAUAAAUAUCAGUUGUCAAAGUGUG